AGAUACUUCUCACUACAAAUCGGCUCUCUCCGGGGAUUAGCAGCUACACGAAAGUGCAUACUGGCGCUGCGGGCAGCCGAGGGGGCCGGGCAAGGCAGACACUCCCCGGCCCAGCCCCGCGCCUCCACUGAGACUCUGGGGACGCGCAGGGGUCCCGCAGCCGGUGGGGUGACUUCGCCCUCCUUCUUCCUCCUCCCCUUCCACGUGGGGCCCGCCACGUGGGGAGACGCGAGCUCUGGCGGGCCUCGGCACCGUCCCCCGGGUGGCCCCGGCUCGAUAAGGCCCCCACCACGCCCGCUCAGCCGACCUGCACUCUACUCGGCCCCGAGGCUCCAACUUCCUCCUGGGCCCCGCGCAGGCCACGGGUGCCGUCCCAGGCUCGUGAGGUCAGGCGCGGGCCGGCCACAGGGGGCACUUGCGCUCCCAGAUCCCAGAUCCGGGAGACCCUGCCAGGGAGGUAGCGCUGGCUGCGGGUGCGCGCGGAGACUGGUCUGUGUGCUGGAACUUGCCACGAUGUGUUCGCUACGAGAAGCCAAAUGUUUUUACACAUUUAGAAAUGUCUUUCUGUUGUCUGAAUGUCGCUGGGGCUAUUUUGAAAGCCUUGCCUUGGUCAGGUCACCAGCCUCUCUGAGACCUUGCGGGCCCAGGGGUCGCGUGUGCAGUGCCAUUUCUCGAUCACGAGUCCACAAGUGUCUCGGUGCAUUGCGAUUGAAAUCUGGACUCUCAACGACCAGGGGACACAGCGGCCGC
rnacentral:lncRNA from 1 species